CCUACGGGGGGCAGCAGUGGGGAAUAUUGCACAAUGGGGGAAACCCUGAUGCAGCAACGCCGCGUGAAGGAAGAAGGUCUUCGGAUUGUAAACUUCUUUAGUCGGGGACGAAAAAUGACGGUACCCGAAGAAUAAGCCACGGCUAACUACGUGCCAGCAGCCGCGGUAAUACGUAGGUGGCAAGCGUUGUCCGGAAUUACUGGGUGUAAAGGGCGUGUAGGCGGGUUAUUAAGUCAGAUGUGAAAUUCCUCUGCUCAACGGAGGCGCUGCAUCUGAAACUGAUAAUCUUGAGUGCUGGAGAGGGAAGCGGAAUUCCUAGUGUAGCGGUGAAAUGCGUAGAUAUUAGGAGGAACACCAGUGGCGAAGGCGGCUUUCUGGACAGUAACUGACGCUGAGGCGCGAAAGCGUGGGGAGCAAACAGGAUUAGAUACCCUUGUAGUCCU
rnacentral:rRNA from 1 species